rnacentral:rRNA from 1 species
UACGGAGGGUGCGAGCGUUGUUCGGAAUCACUGGGCGUAAAGGGCGCGUAGGCGGCCCUCUUAGUCGCGUGUGAAAGCCCCGGGCUCAACCUGGGAAUGGCGCGCGAAACGGGAGGGCUGGAGUUCGGGAGAGGAGAGUGGAAUUCCCAGUGUAGAGGUGAAAUUCGUAGAUAUUGGGAAGAACACCAGUGGCGAAGGCGGCGGCCUGGGUCCAAACUGACACUGAGGUGCGAAAGCGUGGGGAGCAAACAGG